rnacentral:rRNA from 1 species
UACAGAGGGUGCGAGCGUUAAUCGGAAUUACUGGGCGUAAAGCGUGCGUAGACGGUUAUUUAAGUCGGGUGUGAAAGCCCCCGGGCUCAACCUGGGAAUUGCAUUCGAGACUGAAUAGCUAGGGUACGGUAGAGGGAAGCGGAAUUUCCGGUGUAGCGGUGAAAUGCGUAGAUAUCGGAAGGAACAUCAGUGGCGAAAGCGGCUUCCUGGACCAGUACCGACGUUCAGGCACGAAAGCGUGGGGAGCAAACAGGA